AGUGAACGCUGGCGGUAGGCCUAACACAUGCAAGUCGAACGGCAGCACAGUAAGAGCUUGCUCUUACGGGUGGCGAGUGGCGGACGGGUGAGGUAUACAUCGGAAUCUACUUUUUCGUGGGGGAUAACGUAGGGAAACUUACGCUAAUACCGCAUACGACCUACGGGUGAAAGCAGGGGAUCUUCGGACCUUGCGCGAUUGAAUGAGCCGAUGUCGGAUUAGCUAGUUGGCGGGGCAAAGGCCCACCAAGGCGACGAUCCGUAGCUGGUCUGAGAGGAUGAUCAGCCACACUGGAACUGAGACACGGUCCAGACUCCUACGGGAGGCAGCAGUGGGGAAUAUUGGACAAUGGGCGCAAGCCUGAUCCAGCCAUACCGCGUGGGUGAAGAAGGCCUUCGGGUUGUAAAGCCCUUUUGUUGGGAAAGAAAAGCAGCAGGUUAAUACCCCGCUGUUCUGACGGUACCCAAAGAAUAAGCACCGGCUAACUUCGUG
rnacentral:rRNA from 1 species